rnacentral:tRNA from 1 species
GAAGAAGUAGUUCAGUCAGGUAGAAUAUCAGUUUUUCAACAUGCUGAAGGUCGAAGGUUCGAAUCCUUCCUUCUUCU